rnacentral:lncRNA from 1 species
CAUGCCUGGUCGCAGCCUGAGAAAUGGACCACGCCAGCAGAUGGCUGGGGCUUGAGAAACGGUCACGGCCUUCAGAGGGGCCCAUCAAUAAUAGAUCGGCUCCAGCCCUGAGAGAGGGAAGCGUUUCUGCGGCAGAUGUUCUGUGUUGGGAAUUAUUACUCAAGGAGCAACAAAACACAAUAAAAAUAAUUCACCAUGAACGAUUCCUCUAUGAAGUCUGUGAAUAACGUGGAAAAUGAUGGCGAUGUUUGUUAAGUGAAGAAAGUAGACCCUGGAAUUCCUUAUGUGAGGGAGGCUGCAGUGUUCGUGGUGGAGUACUGGUGUGGGCAGUCAGGAAGGUGGCCACCACCCCUCACCGUGGACCAGGGGUGAUUUGAAUUGAAGAAAUUACACUUUAAAAAUUAAUAAAAUGUUGUUACAUCUGGUUCUUAA